rnacentral:rRNA from 1 species
GACGAACGCUGGCGGCGUGCCUAAUACAUGCAAGUCGAGCGAGCGGAACCAGCAGAUCUGCUUCGGCAGUGAUGCUGGGAAAGCGAGCGGCGGAUGGGUGAGUAACACGUGGGGAACCUGCCCCAAAGUCUGGGAUACCACUUGGAAACAGGUGCUAAUACCGGAUAAGAAAGCAGAUCGCAUGAUCAGCUUUUAAAAGGCGGCGUAAGCUGUCGCUAUGGGAUGGCCCCGCGGUGCAUUAGCUAGUUGGUAGAGUAACGGCCUACCAAGGCAAUGAUGCAUAGCCGAGUUGAGAGACUGAUCGGCCACAUUGGGACUGAGACACGGCCCAAACUCCUACGGGAGGCAGCAGUAGGGAAUCUUCCACAAUGGACGCAAGUCUGAUGGAGCAACGCCACGUGAGUGAAGAAGGUUUUCGGAUCGUAAAGCUCUGUUGUUGGUGAAGAAGGAUAGAGGUAGUAACUGGCCUUUAUUUGACGUAAUCAACCAGAAAGUC